UAACACGAAGGUGGCAAGCGUUGUUCGGAUUCACUGGGCAUAAAGGGCACGUAGGCGGAGAGGCAAGUCGGUGGUGAAAGCCCCCGGCUCAACCGGGGAACAGCCUCCGAUACUGUCCUUCUAGAGUGCAGGAGGGGAGAGUGGAACUCUUGGUGGAGCGGUGAAAUGCGUUGAUAUCAAGGGGAACGCCGGCGGCGAAAGCGGCUCUCUGGUCUGCUACUGACGCUGAUGUGCGAAAGCCAGGGGGGCAAACGGGAUUAGAUACCCCGGUAGUCCUGGCCGUAAACGAUGGGCACUAAGUAGAGGGGGUUCCGAUGCCUUCUCUGCCGGAGCUAAUGUAUUAAGUGCCCCGCCUGGGGAGUAUGGUCGCAAGGCUG
rnacentral:rRNA from 1 species